GAUGGACCCGCGUCGCAUUAGCUAGUUGGUGAGGUAAUGGCUCACCAAGGCGGGGAUGGGUAGCCCACCCCAGAGGGUGAUCGGCCACACUGGGAGUGAGACACGUCCCCCACUCCUGCGGGAGGCCGCAGUCGGGAAUCUUCGGCAAUGGGCGCAAGCCUGACCGAGCACCGCCGCGUGAGCCAUGAAGGCCUUCGGGU
rnacentral:rRNA from 1 species